GGGUGAGUAACACGUGGAUAACCUACCUAUAAGACUGGGAUAACUUCGGGAAACCGGAGCUAAUACCAGAUAAUAUUUUAAACCGCAUGGUUCAAAAGUGAAAGACGGUCUUGCUGUCACUUAUAGAUGGAUCCGCGCUGCAUUAGCUAGUUGGUAAGGUAACGGCUUACCAAGGCAACGAUGCAUAGCCGACCUGAGAGGGUGAUCGGCCACACUGGAACUGAGACACGGUCCAG
rnacentral:rRNA from 1 species